AAAGAGAAAAAGAAAAAUGCAUCAUUAUACAAUCAUUAUAGCAUGGUAUGAUUCAAAAUGUUUUCACUACAUUGCAAUUACUGUAUUAUGCAUCAACACUUCUCGCUUAACAAACAUGUUUAAACAACUACAAGGUAUUUUAAAAAUUAGAUAGAAAAAAACAGUCAAUUAGGAGUUAAAGUUUUAUGCGACACUUUUUAUUAUAAUAUUUAGUAAAUAUGCAAAAAUAUAUGACAACAGUAAUCUGCUUUGAAAGAUGUGCCCUUCACGGUGAAUUUUUGUGUGAAAAAUAUUAUUUAUAUAAAAUAUAAAAUACAAUUAGCAAAACGUACACACAGUAAUACUUCCAUUGUAUAUAUGUGCAUUGUAAAGUACGUCAUUUUUACAAGAAUAUCACUCGGCACUUAAGAGAAAUAGCUUAGUUAGUAUACCU
rnacentral:lncRNA from 1 species